GCUCCUGUAGCUCAGUCGGUAGAGCGUUUCCAUGGUAAGGAAGAGGUCGCAGGUUCGAUUCCUGUCGGGAGCACCU
rnacentral:tRNA from 1 species